rnacentral:rRNA from 1 species
UGAGGAAUAUUGGACAAUGGAGGCAACUCUGAUCCAGCCAUGCCGCGUGCAGGAAGACUGCCCUAUGGGUUGUAAACUGCUUUUAUAGAGGAAGAAACCGCUCUACGAGUAGAGCUCUGACGGUACUCUACGAAUAAGGAUCGGCUAACUCCGUGCCAGCAGCCGCGGUAAUACGGAGGAUCCAAGCGUUAUCCGGAAUCAUUGGGUUUAAAGGGUCCGUAGGCGGGCUUGUAAGUCAGUGGUGAAAGUUUGCGGCUCAACCGUAAAAUUGCCAUUGAUACUGCAGGUCUUGAAUCAUUAUGAAGUGGUUAGAAUAUGUAGUGUAGCGGUGAAAUGCAUAGAUAUUACAUAGAAUACCGAUUGCGAAGGCAGAUCACUAACAAUGUAUUGACGCUAAGGGACGAAAGCGUGGGUAGCGAACAGGAUUAGAUACCCCCGUAGUCC